AUGUGGAUGAAAGCAAAUAUGUACUGAUGUACCUAAAUGGAUUUACAAAAAUAUCUUUGAAAUGUUUUGUUAUACAGAUAUGGCAUCUAGUAUAAUUUUUUCCAACUUGAUUGUUGCAUUAUCAUAUAAUGAGAUUAGGUGCACAGCUUGCAGUCAGUUUAUUGUUUUUGCUAAAGAUCAUUGCUAGUAGGCCGACAAAAGACAGGUCUAAAAUGAAGCCUAAGAAAACAUGCUUAAGAUGAUAUUUUAAGAUUUUCUAAACAUUGGAUCGUUGCGGAAGGUUGUGAUUGGCACGGCAAGUGUUCUAAAAUGAAGCCAAAGAAAAUGGGGGAGAAAAUAAGGUUCGGCUUGAGGAAUUUAUGCAAUAAAGCAGUUUUAUAUUUGAUUCCUUCUUUAAUUAUAUUGCGUGUGUUCCUAAGCUGCAACCUAUUAAUAAUUUUAGUUUUAUAAUGUUCUUUGCCACUACCUUUCUAUUAUUCAUUCUUUUGCUUUGCAGGUUGUGACAAAAAUUGAUUGGCAUCGGAAAGGAGACUAUUUCACUACUGUCGUUCCUACUUCAAGAUAUCAAACUCUACACCUUCUAUAUGGAGCUAGAUUUGCAAAAGCCAUAUCCAACUCGAGGAAGUGACUUAUUGACAUGGGAGAGAACUUAUUGGUAACCAAGGACUUUGUGAAGAUAGCAAAUUUUGGCCUUGCUCGUGAAGUUCAUUCGAAGCCACCAUUCACAGAAUAGGUUUCA